rnacentral:rRNA from 1 species
GACGAACGCUGGCGGCGUGCUUAACACAUGCAAGUCGAACGGAAGGGCCCUGCUUUUGUGGGGUGCUCGAGUGGCGAACGGGUGAGUAACACGUGAGUAACCUGCCCUUGACUUUGGGAUAACUUCAGGAAACUGGGGCUAAUACCGGAUAGGAGCUCCUGCUGCAUGGUUGGGGUUGGAAAGUUUCGGCGGUUGGGGAUGGACUCGCGGCUUAUCAGCUUGUUGGUGGGGUAGUGGCUUACCAAGGCUUUGACGGGUAGCCGGCCUGAGAGGGUGACCGGCCACAUUGGGACUGAGAUACGGCCCAGACUCCUACGGGAGGCAGCAGUGGGGAAUAUUGCACAAUGGGCGGAAGCCUGAUGCAGCAACGCCGCGUGCGGGAUGACGGCCUUCGGGUUGUAAACCGCUUUCGCCUGUGACGAAGCGUGAGUGACGGUAAUGGGUAAAGAAGCACCGGCUAACUACGUG